CCUCCAUAAAAUAAUUACUAUCUUUUAAUUCACAUUUAUAAUAACAUAAAGGCGUAAUCGAUAGAAUCGUAAAUCGCAAAUGGAGCAUUGGCGGGAUCACAUUUAAUUACAGAUAACCUACAAAUUAACUACAGAUGCGUUUGUCGACCUUUUUGAGAUGUGCUUUCGAAGCGUUCUUGGAAACGUAUCAUUGCACCGACGUGAAACUAAUUUUCUUUGACAAAUUGAAUUCGCUCGUGACAAGAUGGGAACGCUGACGACCUACGUAUAAACUGAAGGAACCGAAGCCCAGUUCCGUUCGAAGUUCUGAAAAUCGAUUGUCCAGAAGAUAUUCCCGGUACUGAAUGAGAAACGUCAUCGUUGCCGCGUUCUUAAUUAAGCGAAGUUUUUGAAAUACCCACUAUCUCAACCAUGACAGACGUGCAGUGACGCAACAGCGCUUUGUUCAGAGUGUUAC